CAUCUUCUAAACACGAAAGCGCGUCCCGCCCCGGGCCAUUCUCUGACUCCUCGUUGCGCCACGUCGCCCGAAAACACAACAAGCGAACGAUCGGACCAUCCAACGGCCAUGGGAGCGAGCGCGGCCAGGAGCGCAGCGCGGGGGCCAGCAGGCCGGUGACCGGUGGCAGCCAAUGCCGGGGAGGCCCGGCCAGCUGCGAGGUGACCGCGGCGUCACGCGGCCAGGCGCAGCCGCCAUGGCCUGCCGACCACGGGGCCACGCAGUGCGGCCAGCUCGCCAUGACCGUCCGACCACGGGGCUAGCAGCCCUAGGCUCAGCACGGCCGAGCAGCCGGUCAGGCCGGCAACAAGCAGGUCCUCUCUCCCGUGUUCACACCUGCGCUGCUUUGACCUCGACGUCCGCUUCACAUUCGCCUAGCAGGUGCUCGACACAAUGCCGUUAGUACACUUGAAGCUGUCCGGCUGGACAGAAAUUCUCCCUCUGGGCCUGUUCCUUCUAAUCUGAAGAACCUCACCAACGUAACUGAGCUGUAAGUUGUUUAGUACCAUUGGGACAGACAAUCCUCUACUCUGCAUGUUAUUUGAACAGCCGGCUGGACAGAAAUUCUCCCUCUGGGCCAGUUCCUUCUAAUCUAAAGAACCUCACCAACGUUAGUGAGCUGUAAGUUGUUUAGUACCAUUGCAUUUGUGACUAUGUAUGGGAGCAUUCAGUCAUACUUAAGACCGUAUUGGUAUAUUUCA